rnacentral:tRNA from 1 species
GGUCCCGGAGUGUAGCGGUUAUCACGUCGCCCUGUCACGGCGAAGAUCGCGGGUUCGAUUCCCGUCGGGACCG